rnacentral:rRNA from 1 species
AUUGAACGCUGGCGGCAGGCCUAACACAUGCACGUCGAGCGGAGCGGCGGACGGGUGAGUAAUGCCUAGGAAUCUGCCUGGUAGUGGGGGAUAACGUCCGGAAACGGGCGCUAAUAUCGCAUACUAUCAGAUGAGCCUAGGUCGGAUUAGCUAGUUGGUGGGGUAAAGGCCUACCAAGGCGACGAUCCGUAACUGGUCUGAGAGGAUGAUCAGUCUGACUGUAAGUGAUGCACGGUCCAGACUCCGACGGGAGGCAGCAGUGGGUAAUAUUGGACACUUGGCGAAAGCCUGAUCCAGCCAUGCCGCGGGUGGUAAGAAGUUCUUCGGAUUGUAAAGCCCUUUAAGUUGGGAGGCGUUACCAACAGAAUAAGCACCGGCUAACUUCGUGCCAGCAGCCGCGGUAAUAC